GGCCAGCCUGGUCGACAGCACAAGUUCCAGGGCAGCUACACAGAGAAAUCCUGUCUCAAAGAACAAAACAAAACAAACGAAUGAAUUAAAAAGUGACUUUGAAAAACUGCGCAGCUAAGAGAUACAGGAACACUGGCCUCGGGAAUGGUGCUGCCCACAGUGGGCUGGCCCCUUCACCAGUUCGUGGUGGAGACAACUCCCAGCCCAAGGCAUGCCCACCACCUAUCUGAUCCAGGUAAGAACAACUAUCAUCUCUAUUGCGUCGAUAAAGAGACAA